GACGAACGCUGGCGGCGUGCUUAACACAUGCAAGUCGAACGAAGUGGCGAACGGGUGAGUAACGCGUAAUCAACCUGCCCUUCAGAGGGGGACCACAGUUGGAAACGACUGCUAAUACCGCAUACUGAAGGAGGGGCUUGCGUCUGAUUAGCUAGUUGGCGGGGUAAAGGCCCACCAAGGCAAGGAUCAGUAGCCGGUCUGGGGUGUGGAACGGCCACAUUGGGACGGAAGAACGGCCCAGACUCCUACGGGAGGCAGCAGGGGGGAAUCUUCCGCAAUUGACGAAAGUCUGACGGAGCAACGCCGCGUGAUUGAUGACGGCCUUCGGGUUGUAAAGCUCUGUUAAUCGGGACGCGGUACCGGAAUAGAAAGCCACGGCUAACUACGUGCCAGCAGCCGCGGUAAUAC
rnacentral:rRNA from 1 species